GCGUGAUUGGCGUAGUGGUUAACCCGUUCGUUCUUCAAACGGCACUUCGAAUACUUAUGGUGUUCGUUGUCGGGCUGGGGCCCUUGCCACCUGAUAGUGGAUGUUCCCAGGUUCGAAUCCCGGAUCGCGCA
rfam:Sordaria macrospora k-hell, WGS project CABT02000000 data, contig: 2.38